rnacentral:ribozyme from 13 species
GAGGAAAAGAGAAAGGAAAAGAGAAAGGAGAAGAAAAAUAUAUUCAAUUUUUGAGAGUUUUGUGUGAAUUUGAGAAAAAAACUCCUUCUUCUGUUUCUCUCUCUCUUGGUUAUUCCUCUCUUUCUAUU